GACGUAGGGUGCGAGCGUUGUCCGGAUUUAUUGGGCGUAAAGAGCUCGUAGGCGGUGUGUCGCGUCGGCCGUGAAAACCUGCAGCUUAACUGUGGGCUUGCGGUCGAUACGGGCAUCACUGGAGUUCGGCAGGGGAGACUGGAAUUCCUGGUGUAGCGGUGAAAUGCGCAGAUAUCAGGAGGAACACCGGUGGCGAAGGCGGAUCUCUGGGCCAUUACUGACGCUGAGGAGCGAAAGCGUGGGGAGCGAACAGG
rnacentral:rRNA from 1 species